CUCCAGGGGCCACAGGAGACGCAGUAGGGAGCCCCGCAGGAGCCCCAGGAGGACGGCCCGGUCUCCCUCCCCCCAGAGAAACACUGCAGCCUCCCACAGAGGCGCCAACAGUCAUCAAACUUUCCAACAGAAGCCGAGCAGGGUGAAGAGGGGAAGGCGGCGGAGGGAGCGCAGCAGGGAGCGGAAGGAGCGCUCUUUGUCCCGUAAGAGGAGUCACAAGGACCAAGACCGGAACCGAAAGGCCAGGCCCGUCAAGGUAACCAAGGUGUUCCCAGAGAUCCAGUCCUUGCACUUUAAGCAUCUGUAGCAUUAAGCUAGUUAUAGUGUACGCCAAAAUGUCCAGCCUUCGUCGAAACGUACUCGAGAACAAAAAAUGCAUUCAAAUUAAUACGUAAAAUAAAGACAGAAUAUGGAAAAUAAAUAAAUAAAGGGGUGUAAUAAGUCAUGUAUUCUGUAAAAUAUAUUUGUCCGCUCGCUCACUUGUUUUUUUCAUUUAAUUUGACAUUGAAGGUGCAAAAGGAUGUUGAACGGGAAGCAAAGGAAGUCUGUGAGAGCGACAGAGAAGGCUCCGGAUCGGCCAGCGAGGACAUGGCCUCCCCCUGUACACAACAAAAUGGCCGCUGAGAGAGACUGGGCGAAGAGCACGUGUCCGUAGGUUCAACACGAAGUAGGAGACCAGAGGUCUUCUUUUUGGCUAACAGUGGCUAUAUUAAAAAAAAGUGUGUUGAAAUACGUAUUCGCAAACGACAAAACUCACACAUAGUUGGGUAGUGUCACACAUGUCAGUCGCCCAUUUUUAAGACGCAGCGUUGUAUUAGUUCAAUCACCAUCUGGUUGUUUGCUUUUAGUUUUUUAUUCAAUUUCAUACUGGCACUACACAAAUUCCGUUUUGUGGUACAGGUGUCACCAAACAAGGAUAUCGAUUUCAUAGAUGUGUCCAUCUGUCAAUGACGAGCAAUUUAGUUAUUAAACUGAAAGGAAAUCAAUCUUUAUUGUCAAUUUUAUUUUACUGAACAGUAUUUUGAUAUCAGAAUCAGUUGACAGAACGUGGAACCUUUAUGGAUUCAGCUAUUGUACCAUCUAUUUGGGACAAAUGGUCCGAUUUAAUGAGUAAACCGUAAACAAAGAUUUAUAUUUAAUACUUUUUAAUUACAAGUCUACUAACUAACAAAAGAAAGAAAAAAAGGGAGUACCGUAGUAGAAGAGAAAUCUGAAUAAUCGUCCAAAAGCUCCCCUCUUUGUACAACUGUGUAGAACCCCUUGCUUCAGUACUAGGGAUGGGACAGGCUAUGCUUACCUCGCUAACAUACAGAGCCUGUAUUGACUUGAUUAAAAAAAAAAAAAAAAAGAACAGCCCACCCUGUAUCUAACUGGCACAUACUGAUAAUCCUCUUAAGCAAUAAGACAAAUGUUUGAAUCUAAAAAUAAACAUGACAUUCAGAGACCACUGAGGAGUAGAAAUGAACUAUCUUGGCAACGCAUCUCAUUUUGCUUCCGAUGUCUCAUGGGAAAUAAAUAGGUCCUUUUUUUUUAUUAUUACUUGGAUUGUAUUAUUCUGACCAUUUUGUGUACAGUGAAUAGGUAGUGUUUAUGUAUGGGCCGGGUUUAAUAAUGUAUGAGGUACAACAUCAGGAGGACACAGAUGCUUUUUAUGGUGCCCGGGGGAAAUAGCCCUGUCUGUUGUUUGGAGGAUACAUUCAUCACAUGCCUCGUGCAGUCUAUCACAGCCACAGGAUCUGUACAGUAUGCCCUUUAUUUUUGUGUCGCUCACCUUUUUGUGAUGCAACAAACGGGUUGAUAUAUAUUACUGUAAUUACAAGCAAUCAGAAGAAAUGUAUGACUUAUUUUGCCAAUUUGGUUUGUUUCUUAAAGCUCCACAACAUCCGAUAAAGAACAUUCUUAUGUAUGUUGUUAUAUAUGUGGUCAAAUGUAUUUUUCACUCCCUAGUAAAACAUAUAUUACAUAUAUAUUUGACUUUUCCUAUUUUGUUGCUGUUUACUUUGGUGCUAUAUUUGUAUUUUGGAAAUGUGCAUCGCAGGAGGUAGAAGUGUGAAACUAAAUUUUAUGUACACAUUUCUAUAAUUUUCCACACGUAAAUUGGUUGACAUAGGCGGCAUUAAAAUAUCACUUGGCACAUUGUACAUUAAAACCAGUGCUAUGGGCAUUGGGUCAAACAUUGGCUGAAGUAAAAUUUGAAAAAACGUAUUGCAAGCACAGACAACUGAAAAGUGCCUAGACUAAGAUUGUACAAAACACUGAAUAAUUCCCUAAAAGUCCAACCUCAAUUUAUUUUGGCAAACUAAGAUUUGUUAAUUAGGUGUUGAAGUUACAAUACAUUUGUGAGUAAAAUUGUCUUCGACAUAAAAAAAAGUAUAGCUGAUGGUGAAUAUUUGUGUUUUUUGCAGGUUCAAAUGUUUGUGCUAGUGCGGAUUAUUUGUGUGAAUAAAUCCAGUGUUGAGAAAUUUAACAGUGAAAGGUAUCUGCUAUUGUCUAACAAAAAAGUUCAAAGCUUGAUGUCGGUUAAAAAACAAUUUAAGGAAUGAAACAUCUAAACGUUGGUAACAUACCAGAGGUUUGCCAAACAGACAAAUGUUUGGUGUAAGAUAUCUGAAAGACAAAACAAAUGAACAUAAUACAAAUUGUAUUUUUUUAGAAUGUUGUAUUCAAGUAUUUAAAAACAAUCUUGGCUAAUUCCUAAAAUGAAGAAUUACACUUCCUGAUUCAAGCGGGGUGGUUUUUUAUGUUUAUGAAAAGCUUGGAUGUAUGCUGUUGAACCUCCCUGGUCGUGUCUUGUUCAAAUGUCCCCCCCCCCCCCAAUAAAAAUAGAAAACCCACAGGCUUUUUCAUUCAGAUAAUCUGCUGUACAUCACAGCGGCUCCUCGCCACAUCCCCUGGCUGAUAUCUUAAGGAAACGAAUGUGCUCAAGCUCUUCUGUAUGCUGGUACCACUUCUACCAUUAUUGAAGUGUCUACUUUAUUUUUAGCGUCUUAAGGUAUUAUACCCAUCCACACGCUCAAUCCUUCCAGACAUUCAGUCUCCUUCCUAAGCGAAUUUGGCCUUUUCAGUUUGUGGUCCUCCUAUCUGUGCCAUUAGCUGCCAGGUUGCACAUGUAUUGGUGUGAAAGUCAUGCUCUUUGCAGAUGAUUGGCCUAUGUUUAUUUGAACGAUAGAAAAGGUCAAAUCCCCAGUGCUCCCAUUGUCACCCUACUAUGCUAGAUCUCAGCAACGACUUUACCCAUUUGUACGUGGUUGUGAAAAGGUAGCCCCUCCUUUUCACGUACAUAUGACACUACCCGCAACACGUAAACUGAUCAACACGCACACCCGCAUUCACACAUGUUUAUGCUGAGUAUGACGCACGGUGCCGGCAACCGCGUCUCGUCAUGAGACAUUGAUCCUUAACCCAUAACCCAUAAUCCAUUCUCUGCCGUUAACCCAUACAUUUUGCAUGACACAGACAGACACUGACAGCCACACCCACUUCCUGGGUCCCCAAACAUUUUGAACCCCGGGCAACACGGCACCUGGAAAUGCAAUCACUGCCUGAUUGGGAUGCAGGAACCUGACUGUUUGUCAGGGGGGAGACGUUAUUUGUUAUGUUUAAUUAUUACGGUAUUUUGCAACAGUGAACCUCAUCAACAUUCGAACUGUUAAGAUGUGUAAUGAAGUGUGUGGUCGAAUAUGAUUUAAUUAUAAAAUAUAAGAUGUAUUAUGGUACUUGAGUCGGUGAACCCCCAUGGUAUUUGGUGUCUACCAAUUUAGUUAAUUGGUUGGCUUUAUUUAAGCCCGGUAUUUUUUUGCUUUCAAGGGGGUUGGUGGAGGCAUAGAGAGACGGCUUGCUGUGAGGCUGGAUCAUGUUCGGUGAUUCUCAUGUUAAUGGAACUUUGCAAGUGAGCAACCCUCUGGUUGAUUUUUGGUUUUGUUUAUCAAAGUAUUGUGUUUGGCUUUGCCAUUUCACUUUUUUAAGCGUGAAAAAAAAUGAAUCAGUUUUUCACCUAAUUUAUGCUGCUGGCUGAAUUUUUGCGGUGUACUCAAGAUCUUCAUUGCGUCCUAACAGCUACAACCCUAAGUGGAAAAUUAACCGUCCCGCCUGUGAUUCUGAACGAG
ensembl:lncRNA